rnacentral:rRNA from 1 species
UACGUAGGGUGCAAGCGUUAUCCGGAUUCACUGGGUUUAAAGGGCGCGUAGGUGGGUCGGUAAGUCAGUGGUGAAAUCUUCGAGCUUAACUCGGAAACUGCCAUUGAUACUAUCGAUCUUGAAUUAUCUGGAGGUAAGCGGAAUAUGUCAUGUAGCGGUGAAAUGCUUAGAUAUGACAUAGAACACCCAUUGCGAAGGCAGCUUACUACGGAUACAUUGACACUGAGGCUCGAAAGCGUGGGGAUCAAACAGG